GGACUACCGGGGUUUCUAAUCCCGUUUGCUCCCCUGGCUUUCGUGCCUCAGCGUCAGGAAAUGUCCAGAGACUCGCCUUCGCCACUGGUGUUCCUCUCGAUAUCUACGCAUUUCACUGCUACACCGAGAAUUCCAGUCUCCCCUCCAUUCCUCGAGCCGGAUAGUAUCCAAUGCAGUUCCACAGUUGAGCUGUGGGAUUUCACAUCAAACUUACCCGGCCGCCUACGCACCCUUUACGCCCAGUGAAUCCGAACAACGCUUGGGACCUCUGUAUUACCGCGGCUGCUGGCAC
rnacentral:rRNA from 1 species